rnacentral:rRNA from 1 species
GAUGAACGCUGGCGGCGUGCCUAAUACAUGCAAGUCGAGCGAACAGACGAGGAGCUUGCUCCUCUGACGUUAGCGGCGGACGGGGGAGUAACACGUGGAUAACCUACCUAUAAGACUGGGAUAACUUCGGGAAACCGGAGCUAAUACCGGAUAAUAUAUUGAACCGCAUGGUUCAAUAGUGAAAGACGGUUUUGCUGUCACUUAUAGAUGGAUCCGCGCCGCAUUAGCUAGUUGGUAAGGUAACGGCUUACCAAGGCAACGAUGCGUAGCCGACCUGAGAGGGUGAUCGGCCACACUGGAACUGAGACACGGUCCAGACUCCUACGGGAGGCAGCAGUAGGGAAUCUUCCGCAAUGGGCGAAAGCCUGACGGAGCAACGCCGCGUGAGUGACGAAGGUCUUCGGAUCGUAAAACUCUGUUAUUAGGGAAGAACAAAUGUGUAAGUAACUAUGCACGUCUUGACGGUACCUAAUCAGAAAGCCACGGCUAACUACGUG